AGCACCGGCUCUACAAAGGAUGGCUGUGAAAGGAAUUGGAGUACCUUUGAAAAUAUUCAUACAAAGAAAAGAAAUAGGCUAACUACAGAACGUCUAAACUCUCUUGUGUUUAUACAAUUCAACUCAAGAAUGAUGGCCAAGAAACAAAUGAUCAAGGAGAAGAAGAUCACUGAUGUCCUCUUAUCUGCUGAAACUACCGAAGCUCAAGGUUUUCUUUUUGAGGGCGGAGACUAUUAUGCAGAAGUCAUCUAUAGGGAUGAUGAGGAGGAGAUGGAUAGUACAGGGAUGCCAGGGAGUGGCAUUGGAGAAACAAUGGGAGGUGAUGAACUGCUCGAGCCACGUAGAAGUGCGAGACUAAGACAACUUUAUGAAGAAGAAGAAUUCGAUUCUGAAGAAGAGGAGUUUGAUGAGGAGGAGGAGAUGCAUUCAGAGGAUGAGAAUGAAUAUUGA
rnacentral:rRNA from 1 species